UCAGGAAAUAACACGGAUCCAGUUUCUUGACAUUUUAAUGUUUUUGUUUCAUCAGCUGUUGUACCACAUGAUAUAAAACAAAGGAAAAACAACGACUAAAUCCUAAAGUAUUACAACAGAAGUUGACACAUCGAUUGUUCAGACGAUACAGAUGCUUUUGUGAGAAGACCGAUCUUCGUCCACCGUCCACCGCAGAUGCAGGAAGGCCGACAUCGGCGGAUCCGGUGGAUUGAGACACAGCCCAUGCACCUGAUAUAUCUAGCUUAAUAAACCGACAGGUUUUUAUGGGGAUUUAAAAAAAAAUCAUCUUACUUAGAUUGACGCACGGGUGAUUAAUGCAAGGAGAACAAAGUCAUUACAGGACAGGUGGCAACUGAUGCAUUCAUUUCACUCCAUUGCAUUGGCUUGGCAGGACAAAACCGUUGUGCCCUACUGGUUUGGAGGCAAAGGAAGACCCGAUCACUUGGCAGAGUAUGGAUGAGGAUGCCCUUAAAAGACUGGGGAAGAGCUGGUGCAUUGCGCCACAGUACAGGCAGACAUGUAUAGGGAAGAUGUGGGAUCUACGUUGAUCAGGGACCUGAGCCCUCGGACCAUGCCUCAGGACUACCUGGCAUGAUGACUCCUUGCUGUCCCC